UUGGGUUCAUUGAGGUUAGCUAAUUUGACUUGUUUUGGAAAGUCUUGACAAGCCGAAUUUUCUUGUUCUAUUGGCAGAUAAUUUUGCUUAGUUCAAAUAAAAUACCCCUAAUUCUUUGUAUUUUUUUUUUCUUGUUUUUGAACACUGACUUUUUGCAGUGUAGGAAUCGCGCUGAUAUCGUAUCGGCUUGACAUCGUCAUCAGGCUCCAAUAUCGGUACUGCAGUGGUCAUCAACCUUCAGUGUUUCCUCCAGAGGAUGGGCGUGGCCCUGCAGGGCAGAGAAGCUGAAGGCAGCCAUUGAUCAUCUUUGGACACGGCCACAAAAUCAAAGUCUAACAGUGCGGUCGUGACACAGGCGGUGCAUUAGAGCAGUGGUUCUCAAAUGGGGGUACGCGUACCACUGGGGGUACUUGAAGGUAUGCCAAGGG